AGUUCGAUUAUGGCUCAGAUUGAACGCUGGCGGGAUGCUUUACACAUGCAAGUCGAACUGGCAGCACGGACUUCGGUCUGGUGGCGGUGGCGAACGGGUGGUAAUGUAUCGGAACGUGCCUAGUAGCGGGGAUAACUACGCGAAAGCGUAGCUAAUACCACGUGCAUACCCUUCGGGGAAAAGCGGGGACCUUCGGGCCUCGCACUGAUAGAGCGGCCGAUAUCGGAUUAGCUAGUUGGUGGGGUAACGGCUCACCAAGGCGACGAUCAAGCCAGCUGGUUUGAGAGGACGACCAGCCACACUGGGACUGAGACGGCUCCAGACUCCUACGGGAGGCAACGGAAAUUUUGGACAAUGGAAACCUGAUCCAGCCAUCCCGCGUGUGCGAUGAAGGCCUUCGGGUUGUAAAGCACUUUUGGCAGGAAAGAAACGGCACGGGAUAAUACCCCGUGCAACUGACCAUUCCUGGGAAUAAGCACCGGCUAACUACGUUAUGGCAACCGCGGUAAUACGUAGGGUGCAAGCGUUAAUCGGAAUUACUGGGCGUAAAGCGUGCAGGCGGUUCGGAAAGAAGAUGUGAAAUCCCAGAGCUUAACUUUGGAACUGCAUUUUUAACUACCGAGCUAGAGUGUGUCAGAGGGAGGUGGAAUUCGCGUGUAGCAGUGAAAUGCGUAGAUAUGCGGAGGAACACCGAUGGCGAAAGCAGCCUCCUGGGAUAACGCGACGCUCAUGCACGAAAGCGUGGGAGCAAACAGGAUUAGAUACCCUGGUAGUCCACGCCCUAAACGUAUCGCCCAACUAGCAUGUUGGGGCCUUCGGGCCUUGGUAGCGCAGCUAACGCAUGAAGUUGACCGCCUGGGGAGGUACAGUCGCAAGAUUAAAAACUCAAGAAUUGACGGGGACCCGCACAAGCAGUGGAUGAUGUGUGGAUUAAUUCGAUGCAACGCGAAAACCUUACCUACCCAUGACAUGUCUGGAAUCCCGAAGAGAUUUGGGAGUGCUCGCAAGAGAACCGGAACACAGGUGCUGCAUGGCUGUCGUCAGCUCGUGUCUGAUGAGAUGUUGGGUUAAGUCCCGCAACGAGCGCAACCCUUGUCAUUAGUUGCUACGAAGGGCACUCUAAUGAAGCUGCCGGUGACAAACCGGAGGAAGGUGGGGAUGACGUCCAGGUCCUCAUGACCCUUAUGGUGGGGCUUCACACGUCAUGCAAUGGUCGGGACAGAGGGUCGCCAACCCGCGAGGAGCCAAUCAGAAACCCGAUCGUAGUCCGGAUCGCAGUCUGCAACUCGACUGCGUGAAGUCGGAGAAAUCGCUAAUCGCGCGGAUCAACAUGUCGCGGUGAGGCCGAUUCCCGGGUCUUGUACACACCGCCCGUCACACCAUGGGAGUGGGUUUUGCAGAAGUAGUUAGCCUAACCGUAAGGAGGGCGAUUACCACGGUAGGAUUCAUGACUGGGGUGAAGUCGCCCAACAAGAUA
rnacentral:rRNA from 1 species